rnacentral:tRNA from 1 species
GGCAGGUAGCAUGGCUUAGUGGUAGACCAUUUGCUCGGCAUGCAGAAGUUCCCAGAUUCAAUUCCCGGCACCUCCCA